UACGUAGGGUGCAAGCGUUAAUCGGAAUUACUGGGCGUAAAGCGUGCGCAGGCGGCUUUGCAAGACAGAUGUGAAAUCCCCGGGCUCAACCUGGGAACUGCAUUUGUGACUGCAUGGCUAGAGUACGGUAGAGGGGGAUGGAAUUCCGCGUGUAGCAGUGAAAUGCGUAGAUAUGCGGAGGAACACCGAUGGCGAAGGCAAUCCCCUGGACCUGUACUGACACUGAGGCACGAAAGCGUGGGGAGCAAACAGG
rnacentral:rRNA from 1 species